AUGAUAAGAAGAAGAAGAAAUAUCAAAUUGCUCGCUGGAAAUGAAUAAUACUAUGCUUACCAGGGUCAAUUAAAGCAUAAAAGUAAAGCAUUAAAAGGUUAAUUAAGCCUUGUAGAGCCGCAGGCAGGUCAGGCCCUUCCUUCUCUCCACCUUUCCAGCCCUUCGGAAGCGCGCACACCGAACCCAAUGAAAUCUGACCCAGGAUCUUUACAUUCUAACACAGAAAACUGCUGGGCUGAGCCCUCAGGACAUGCCAGGGCAUCCCGCCGAGGACCAUCUCAGCCCUCUGUGAUGAGAACACUUGGUCACGGAGGCAGGAGUGGUCCAGUGGCCGGAGCCGGAGAGACAGAACCAGUGCAUGC